UACAGAGGGUGCGAGCGUUAAUCGGAAUUACUGGGCGUAAAGCGCACGUAGGCGGCUUUGCAAGUCGGGUGUGAAAUCCCCGGGCUCAACCUUGGAACUGCAUCCGAGACUGCAUUGCUAGAGUAUGGGAGAGGGAAGCGGAAUUUCUGGUGUAGCAGUGAAAUGCGUAGAUAUCAGAAGGAACAUCAGUGGCGAAGGCGGCUUCCUGGACCAAUACUGACGAUCAGGUGCGAAAGCGUGGGGAGCAAACAGG
rnacentral:rRNA from 1 species